rnacentral:lncRNA from 1 species
CAGUAUCACAGACAUGCUGGGAUUGGCAAAUGUGCCAUUAGCCCACCAGGCUGGCACAGAAUGGCUACAUCAGAAGGACUUAAAUUUCACACGAUUUAUUACCACACUGAGAGGAGCCUCAAUAUACCGAAGACAGGCACUUUGGAUAAGUUACAGGCACACAGACCCAUAAUAUUCAAUUCCUCUGGCAUGCCUUCAACGUAGGCUCCAUUUCUACCAUUGUUUCUAGCUCCCCUUUUUGUAUACUCUUGUUUCAACCACUGAUUCUAGCCCAGAGGAUUCCUUUCGUUUCCUUAAUCAUUGGGAAGGGAAGAUCCUUUUCCCCUGGACCCCAAGUUCAUUCCUCCACACAGCCAUCUGAACCCAACAGGGGUCCUUCUGUGCUGGAGCCUCAGAACUACAAUGAAUGAGGCGCUCCCUUCUCUAGGUGUAAAGACCCCCCCGUUUGUUCUCUGAAACUGCCCCUGUUGUAACUACUUCUUCCUGCUCUAAAAGCUUUUUCUUGCUUUCUGCCUUUUAUGACUACAAUCUAAAACCACUCUCAUCUCUUCCUGUUCUAAAACUUCAUCAUCCUUUCUGAAUCCAUGUUUUCUCUACAAGUCCUAAUUUUUUUACAACUCUGACCUCGGCGCAGCACUUACUCCAUCUGUUCUUUCUGGCCCUGCUUUCCCAUCAGAAUUGCCAAGCCAACGACUCAUCUUUCAGCCCAAUUUCUCUCCUCAAAUGAAAAAAAAAAAAAAAAAAAGAAAAAGAAAGAAUGCUCAGAAGACAUGUACACAUCCAUAGGUCCGGGAAUUUAUUGUAUUUAUUUAGAACUCGAUUUCUUACAAAAAGGAUUUAACACCUUUUGCAAAGAUGCAAACAAUACGGCAAGAUAAAGCAAGCAAAACGAUGUUUGAAAAAAGAAGAAGAGGCAAAAGGAAAACAAGGCCAGGAGAAGGUGAUGGAGCCGUGAGUGAGGUUCACUGUGGUAUCGUGAAGUCCCAUCUACUUGCUGGUGGUGGCCAUUGAUUUUACCAGAGGCUAUUUCAUGGUCAACACAAGAGAGGAAUGAAAUCACUUGUGAAAAUCAACAUCCAGAAGACAAAAGUAAAUUUAAAUUUUUCAUGAAAACCACAUAUGAUACAUAUGCAGUAUCAACACUAGAGAUGAAUUUCUGCUCUGGAUCUAGGGCUAGGUUCUCCUAAUAAAGCAGGUUCUCCACAGCA